rnacentral:rRNA from 1 species
CUACGGGUUGCUCCAGUGAGGAAUUUUGCGCAAUGGGGGGAACCCUGACGCAGCAACGCCGCGUGAGUGAAGAAGGCCUUUGGGUCGUAAAGCUCUGUCAACUGGGAAGAAAUUAGAGUUGUUUAACAGAUGAUUCUAUUGACGGUACCAGUGGAGGAAGCGCCGGCUAACUCCGUGCCAGCAGCCGCGGUAACACGGGGGGCGCAAGCGUUAUUCGGAAGUAUUGGGCGUAAAGGGCGCGCAGGCGGUCUUGUCGGUCAGGUGUGAAAGCCCGGGGCUCAGCCCUGGAAGUGCACUUGAAACAGCAAGACUUGAGUACGGGAGAGGAAAGCGGAAUUCCUGGUGUAGAGGUGAAAUUCGUAGAUAUCAGGAGGAACACCGAUGGCGAAGGCAGCUUUCUGGACCGAUACUGACGCUGAGGCGCGAAGGCGUGGGUAGCGAACGGGAUUAGAUACCCGAGUAGUC